AACGCGAAGAACCUUACCUGGGCUUGAACUACUCGUGGUAGGUCGCUGGAAACAGUGGCUGACCCGCAAGGGAGCGAGCAGAGGUGCUGCAUGGUUGUCGUCAGCUCGUGUCGUGAGAUGUUGGGUUAAGUCCCGCAACGAGCGCAACCCCUACUCGAUGUUGCUAACUCCGUAAGGAGUGCACUCUUCGAGAACUGCCUUCGAUAAGAAGGAGGAAGGUGGGGACGACGUCAAAUCCUCAUGGCCCUUAUGUCCAGGGCUACACACGUGCUACAAUGGCCGGUACAACGGGAAGCAAGGCCGCAAGGCGGAGCCAAACCCUAAAAGCCGGCCCCAGUUCAGAUUGUGGGCUGCAACUCGCCCACAUGAAGGCGGAAUCGCUAGUAAUCGCUGAUCAGCAGGCAGCGGUGAAUACGUUCCCGGGCCUUGUACACACCGCGAGC
rnacentral:rRNA from 1 species